rnacentral:lncRNA from 1 species
AUAUAAUCAUAUUAAUUACAUUUUAAAACUUUUAAUUCUACUUUUAUAUUUUUUUUUUUAUUGACUGAAUUGGGGAUUGGACACAUACAAGGCCAUGGAAUAGUGUGGUGCUGAGCUGUGUCCCUGAAGAUGAGCUGUGCCCCUUUUUCCUACAGAAAUCACCAGGAACCAAUGAAUGAGCCCCAAAACAGCUGCCCCAGUGACUUUGGCAAAGAGGGAGGCUUUUGGCUCUGCAUUUAUAUUUGCAAUACCAGUCCAGUUCUUCAUCACUAAGGGGGCACAGGAUAAUGCUGCUAUCAGCUUCCUUACUUCAUCUCCAGUUCAUGCAACAGCUGCAUCUUUGAAAAGUGUCUGUAACAAAUGAUGUAGACACCUCAAAGAAAAGACGCUUCAUAAUGGUCUGUAGAGACCCUACAGAUUUUCUACAACCCAUGAUGUACAGAGGGCUGUCUGUUACCCAGUCCUGGGGCACAGCAUCAAGAAACACAGCAGUACUAUCAAUGUGAAAUUUCACCUAGUAGGAUUCUUAAGAAUUUCUCCUAGAAGACUUCAUGGGCACGUCUGUGCUCUGCAGCAAGGCAUGAAGCCUUGCGGACAGCAACAUCUUCUUCUUGUCUUGAUGGCAGGCCGUCAAAGGCCUGUACCAGGAACACAAGC